rnacentral:rRNA from 1 species
UCGAGAAUAAUUCACAAUGGGGGAAACCCUGAUGGUGCAACGCCGCGUGGAGGAUGAAGGUCUUCGGAUUGUAAACUCCUGUCAUCCGGGAGUAAGACCUGACGGUGAAUAGCCGGCAGGGUUGAUAGUACCGGAAGAGGAAGGGACGGCUAACUUCGUGCCAGCAGCCGCGGUAAUACGAAGGUCCCAAGCGUUGUUCGGAAUCACUGGGCGUAAAGGGAGCGUAGGCGGCGCGGUAAGUCAGAUGUGAAAUCCCGGGGCUCAACCCCGGAACUGCAUCCGAUACUGCCGUGCUUGAGGGUUGGAGAGGUAGCUGGAAUUCUCGGUGUAGCAGUGAAAUGCGUGGAUAUCGAGAGGAACACUCGUGGCGAAGGCGAGCUACUGGACAACAUCUGACGCUGAGGCUCGAAGGCCAGGGGAGCAAAAG